rnacentral:rRNA from 1 species
UACGUAGGGUGCGAGCGUUGUCCGGAAUUACUGGGCGUAAAGAGCUCGUAGGUGGUUUGUCGCGUUGUUCGUGAAAACCUGAGGCUUAACCUUGGGCGUGCGGGCGAUACGGGCAGACUGGAGUACUGCAGGGGAGACUGGAAUUCCUGGUGUAGCGGUGGAAUGCGCAGAUAUCAGGAGGAACACCGGUGGCGAAGGCGGGUCUCUGGACCGGUACUGACGCUGAGGAGCGAAAGCGUGGGGAGCGAACAGG